rnacentral:rRNA from 1 species
AUUGAACGCUGGCGGCAGGCCUAACACAUGCAAGUCGAGCGAGUGGCGCACGUGUGAGUAAUGUCGGGAACACUGCCAGAUGGAGGGGGAUAACCACUGAAAACGGUAGCUAAUACCGCAUACCAUCGGAUGUGCCCAGAUGGGUUUAGCUAGUAGGUGGGGUAAUGGCUCACCUAGGCGACGAUCCCUAGCUGGUCUGAGAGGAUGACCAGCCACACUGGAACUGAGACACGGUCCAGACUCCUACGGGAGGCAGCAGUGGGGAAUAUUGCACAAUGGGCGCAAGCCUGAUGCAGCCAUGCCGCGUGUAUGAAGAAGGCCUUCGGGUUGUAAAGUACUUUCAGUGGGGAGGCGUUACUCGCAGAAGAAGCACCGGCUAACUCCGUGCCAGCAGCCGCGGUAAUAC